UACAGAGGUCCCAAGCGUUGUUCGGAUUUACUGGGCGUAAAGGGCGCGUAGGCGGCGCGGUAAGUCACUUGUGAAAUCUCUGAGCUUAACUCAGAACGGCCAAGUGAUACUGCAGUGCUAGAGUGUGGAAGGGGCAAUCGGAAUUCUUGGUGUAGCGGUGAAAUGCGCAGAUAUCAGGAGGAACACCGGUGGCGAAGGCGGCAUCCUGGACCAACACUGACGCUGAGUGAGCGAAAGCCAGGGGAGCAAACGGG
rnacentral:rRNA from 1 species